GUUUUUUUUUUUUUUUUUUUUUUUUCUU
rnacentral:ribozyme from 1 species